rnacentral:sRNA from 12 species
AAAUAGAAUGAUGAAAGGAAUGAUGGAUGAAUAAUGAUUAACUAAUUUAUAUUUUAAGUUGAAUUUUAUAACUUCAAACUACAAAAUAUAGGGUUAGUCUAUCCAUUUUUAUAAUUCAUUUCAUACUUUAUUUAUCAUGAUUCAAAUGAUUAAUAAGUACUUACUUAAGCGACAGACUAAUCCUUCCGAUUAAAAAUCGGGGGAUUUUUUU